GCGCGCAGRCGGUNUGAUAGGUCGGAUGUGAAAGCCCGGGGCUCAACCCCGGAACAUGCAUUCGAAACCCUUAGACUUGAGUAUGGGAGAGAGAGGUGCGGAAUUCCUGGUGUAGAGGUGAAAUUCGUAGAUAUCAGGAGGAACGCUCGCGGCGGAAGRCGGCUGCUCUGCCCAAUACUGACGCUCAUGGUCGAAAGCAUGGGUAGCGAACGGGAUUAGAUACCCCGGUAGUCCAUGCCGUAAACGAUGAAUGCUAGCUGAUGGAGGACUAUACCCAUUCAUUGGCAAAGUUAACGCAUUAA
rnacentral:rRNA from 1 species